AUUGAACGCUGGCGGCAGGCCUAACACAUGCAAGUCGAGCGGAGCGGCGGACGGGUGAGUAAUGCCUAGGAAUCUGCCUGGUCGUGGGGGAUAACGUCCGGAAACGGGCGCUAAUACCGCAUACUCUCAGAUGAGCCUAGGUCGGCUGAGCUAGUUGGUGGGGUAAUGGCCUACCAAGGCGACGAUCCGUAACUGGUCUGAGAGGAUGAUCAGUCACACGGGAACGGAGACACGGCCCAGACUCCUACGGGGGGCAGCAGUGGGGAAUAUUGGACAAUGGGGGAAAGCGGGAUCCAGCCAUGCCGCGUGAGUGAAGAAGGUCUUCGGAUGGUAAAGCACUUUAAGUUGGGAGGCGGUACCAACAGAAUAAGCACCGGCUAACUACGUGCCAGCAGCCGCGGUAAUAC
rnacentral:rRNA from 1 species